UGGCGGACGGGUGAGUAAUGUCUGGGAAACUGCCUGAUGGAGGGGGAUAACUACUGGAAACGGUAGCUAAUACCGCAUAACGUCGCAAGACCAAAGAGGGGGCCUUCGGGCCUCUUGCCAUCGGAUGUGCCCAGAUGGGAUUAGCUAGUAGGUGGGGUAACGGCUCACCUAGGCGACGAUCCCUAGCUGGUCUGAGAGGAUGACCAGCCACACUGGAACUGAGACACGGUCCAG
rnacentral:rRNA from 1 species